AGUGAACGCUGGCGGUAGGCCUAACACAUGCAAGUCGAACGGCAGCACAGUAAGAGCUUGCUCUUACGGGUGACGAGUGGCGGACGGGUGAGGAAUACAUCGGAAUCUACUUUUUCGUGGGGGAUAACGUAGGGAAACUUACGCUAAUACCGCAUACGACCUACGGGUGAAAGCAGGGGAUCUUCGGACCUUGCGCGAUUGAAUGAGCCGAUGUCGGAUUAGCUAGUUGGCGGGGUAAAGGCCCACCAAGGCGACGAUCCGUAGCUGGUCUGAGAGGAUGAUCAGCCACACUGGAACUGAGACACGGUCCAGACUCCUACGGGAGGCAGCAGUGGGGAAUAUUGGACAAUGGGCGCAAGCCUGAUCCAGCCAUACUGCGUGGGUGAAGAAGGCCUUCGGGUUGUAAAGCCCUUUUGUUGGGAAAGAAAAGCAGCAGGUUAAUACCCCGCUGUUCUGACGGUACCCAAAGAAUAAGCACCGGCUAACUUCGUG
rnacentral:rRNA from 1 species